AGACUUUGAUCUUGAUCCUGGCUCAGGAUGAACGCUGGCGGCGUGCCUAACACAUGCAAGUCGAACGAACCUGAUCUUCGGAAAAGGUUAGUGGCGUACGGGUGAGUAACACGUGGGUGACCUGCCCUGGAGUGGGGGAUAACUUCUCGAAAGAGAGGCUAAUACCGCAUAUGCUCGGCCAUUCGGUUGGUCGAGUAAAGCUCCGGCGCUCCAGGAGGGGCCUGCGUCCGAUUAGCUAGUUGGUGAGGUAAUGGCUCACCAAGGCGAUGAUCGGUAGCUGGUCUGAGAGGACGAUCAGCCACACUGGCACUGACACACGGGCCAGACUCCUACGGGAGGCAGCAGUGAGGAAUAUUGGUCAAUGGGCGAAAGCCUGAUGCAGCAACGCCGCGUGCACGAUGAAGGCCUUCGGGUUGUAAAGUGCUUUUAUGAGGGAAGAGAAAGGACUGUACCUCAUGAAUAAGGAUCGGCUAACUACGUGCCAGCAGCCGCGGUAACACGUAGGAUCCGAGCGUUAUCCGGAUUUACUGGGCGUAAAGC
rnacentral:rRNA from 1 species